rnacentral:rRNA from 1 species
UGGGGAAUAUUGCACAAUGGGCGCAAGCCUGAUGCAGCCAUGCCGCGUGUAUGAAGAAGGCCUUCGGGUUGUAAAGUACUUUCAGCGGGGAGGAAGGCGCUAAGGUUAAUAACCUUGUCGAUUGACGUUACCCGCAGAAGAAGCACCGGCUAACUCCGUGCCAGCAGCCGCGGUAAUACGGAGGGUGCAAGCGUUAAUCGGACUUACUGGGCGUAAAGCGCACGCAGGCGGUCUGUCAAGUCGGAUGUGAAAUCCCCGGGCUCAACCUGGGAACUGCAUUCGAAACUGGCAGGCUAGAGUCUUGUAGAGGGGGGUAGAAUUCCAGGUGUAGCGGUGAAAUGCGUAGAGAUCUGGAGGAAUACCGGUGGCGAAGGCGGCCCCCUGGACGAAGACUGACGCUCAGGUGCGAAAGCGUGGGGAGCAAACA